rnacentral:lncRNA from 1 species
AGAAAGAGAGACCACCUUGACUAGAACCAUUCUCCUAUUCUGUAUCAAAACUCCGAAAAUUCAAAGAUUUUCAAGCCUAUAGCCUUUCAAUCUUUCAAGCCUUAUAUCCCAAACUACUCAUCCUGCAACCACUUUUGUAGAGGCUAUAAGAGUGAUGGUUGUACAGUUUUUACUAUAUCAAUAAAGUAUCAAGUUCUCUCUUAAAAAAUUCUAUCUCGC